rnacentral:rRNA from 1 species
GACGAACGCUGGCGGCGUGCUUAACACAUGCAAGUCGAACGGAAAGGCCCUGCUUGCAGGGUACUCGAGUGGCGAACGGGUGAGUAACACGUGGGUGAUCUGCCCUGCACUUCGGGAUAAGCCUGGGAAACUGGGUCUAAUACCGGAUAGGAGCCAUUUUUAGUGUGAUGGUUGGAAAGUUUUUUCGGUGUAGGAUGAGCUCGCGGCCUAUCAGCUUGUUGGUGGGGUAAUGGCCUACCAAGGCGGCGACGGGUAGCCGGCCUGAGAGGGUGGACGGCCACAUUGGGACUGAGAUACGGCCCAGACUCCUACGGGAGGCAGCAGUGGGGAAUUUUGCACAAUGGGCGCAAGCCUGAUGCAGCGACGCCGCGUGGGGGAUGACGGCCUUCGGGUUGUAAACUCCUUUCGCUAGGGACGAAGCUUUUUGUGACGGUACCUAGAGAAGAAGCACCGGCUAACUACGUG